AUUCAUUUCAAUGGAUAUUUAUUGCCCUGGGCUGGGCUACAUCGGACAAACACUCAGCAGAGGCACCAAGAAAUGGCUGGCUGAAUCUAGAAUUUGCAAACUGAUCACACAUAGCUAUCAUCAUUGCAGCAAGGAACAGACACGCAUGCUGUUUGUUAGCAGAGGGGAAACCCUGCAAACAGCAUUAAGAAAAGUGAAACCAUCAGCGCCCUUGUGUUCUUCAUUGUCGUUUCCCACUGAGGUCGCUGCUGCCAGCUCCUGCCUCCGAGUCCAGCUGCAGGACUGAGACCAGCGCCCUCGCUCUGAGUUCUUGACCCCAGAUUUUAUCCGUUAAGUCAAAGAUUUACAUGGCCCGGGGCUGGAAGCUGUGGAUUUGAACUGCACCUGAGUUCUGGAUUGUGCCCAUGCCUGGGAGAGGUGGCCGUGGGUGGAGAUGCCACUUUGUGCGAGUCCUCACUGUGCUGGGACGUGAUCGGAGCCAAGUACAGGGAAGCAGCCGGGGUGCCUCCCAGGCUGUCACCUUGCCAAACGUCUUCUGGAAGACACCCUGCUGAGAUCCUAAGCUCUGCCCUCGUACCCCAGGGGCUCCCUGGUACUUUCUUUCAGGUCGGGAAGGAGAGUUCUUGCCUCGGUUGCUGCUUCCCUCCGCAGACGAGAGACCACGGUGGCAGAAAGAUGGCCGACGCGGGGAGAAAGGCAAGCUUUCCAAACACCCCAGGGAGCAGAGCUGCGCUGCUGUGUGCCCUUCUCCCUGGGAACAUCACUCACGCUCCUGACCUUGCCUCCAGUGAAUGGCCCCAACGUGCACUGCAUUGCACACGAUUUAUGCACCUCUCAAGAAUCGGCCUGCACCCGCACGCCUGCUGCUCCUUUGCUGCCAGCCACAGAAGCAUCUCGAAUUCCACAGUGAGUACCAGGUUGGAAGAUGCAGAGAUAGGAAAGGAAAUACCCGUAUGUACAGAGGGACUUCUACCAGCUUUGUGAUGUAGCUUGGAUUCCUGAGCGAGGCACGAAGACACGGAAAAAAUGACUAAAAUCUGGAGUCCACCUGAAGAUCGCUUUAAAGUCCAUUUGUUUGCACUUUGGUCUAAGUGUUAUCAAGAUGAAACUCGUGUUUUCAAACGGAAAAUCCAGGUUGCAGAGAAUGGAAAACACGUUCAUUGGUUCAAGUCCUCACGCGCCUGCAAAUGCUGCCUGCACUGAGAAGACUGUCCUGAUGCUGCCAGCCCCCACGGGAAAGACAGAAGGGGGAGGGAGGGCAUGGAUGGCCCCUGGUGCUGUGACAGGGCUGGCACAGGCGAGGGAGUCCCAGCACAGGCCAGAGCCGAGAAAACGGAGGAGGCAGAGGGGCCGCUUCUGGUGCCAGCCUCAACAGCUGACCUGGGGACCGGGCUCUGGGGCAGCUUUUGGAAGUUGCUGCUUGCAAAGACAGAAAUAGCUGGCUGUCAAGGCAGAGGAGAAUAUAUAUAUAUAUAUAUAUACACACACACACACGCACGCAUAUAUAUAUAUACAUAUAUAUAUAUAUAUAUAUAUAUAUA
rnacentral:lncRNA from 1 species